AAAUUAUGAAGAAAUUUUUAUUUCCUCUGAUUUUUCUAUUAUUCUUUGUAAUUUUGUUUUCUUGAAUUUUAUCAAAGAAUUAUUCUCGUAAGAUAUUCAUCGAAAUCAAAUCGUUUCAAAUAGAGGUCGGAAAAAUAUUUUAAAAGUACAAAUUAAGCUGAAAGCUCUUUUAAAGAAGCGAAUAUAAAAAAAAAACUGAGGAUUUUCUGUCCUCCGGACGUCGUGCGCGCGAUUGCGCUGGUGCUGCAUAGACAUGUUGUACUCUAACAUAAAUGUCAGCCCAUACCAAAUUGUUCAUGAUAUGAUCAAAGGCUGAUCGAACUGGCGGAGACGAGCGAUCCAACGCAGCUUUUCGCACGACUAUCUCUGACGCGCGAUCUCACGAGAGACAGAUUUCAGGAAGACACCCGGAAAUUCGAAGAUGGAAAAUCCAAAAACUCAAAGACUUGGAAAUCCAAGACUUCAAAUAGGCAGAAAAAUAAAUCCACAGACAAUGAAGAACAGUCGCAAGAAUUUCGUAGAUCACAAUUUUCGGUGAUUCCUGAUGCUCGCAUUAAAAUUAUAAAUCAUCGAAGUUAAAGAAUGCGAUAAUAAUCACGUUAACUUUCUAUUGUUUUACUCUGUCGACGACUUAGAUGAAAAUUUCAAAACAAACCAUCUUGCAUAAGAACAAUUUGUUUAAGAAUCUUUUCACGUACUGGACGCUGGUCCAUCCGCACACAUUCGUGCAACCUCCGAGAAAUAACAAUUUAAGUGUCUAUGUGUCACGGUGCAAACAAUCAUCGAAUCAGUCACAACCGAUUGUAAUAUUAAUGCUAGUACGGCUUAAUGAUAAAAGUGUCUAUCGCUCUUUUCUUUCUCUCUCCCACACACACGCACACUCUCUUUCUCUUUCAUUUCUUUGAUUGGUCCCAAUGAGCAGUUCGACACUAUUCAGAGCCAGAUAUUCUACUCUCUCAUUUCACUUUCUUUUUUUUUUAAAUUAUCUCUGUUUUCGCCGACCCACAUUAAACGACUAGCAAAGAA